rfam:Hordeum vulgare subsp. vulgare, WGS project CAJW01000000 data, contig: morex_contig_55800
GUAGUACUCCCUCCAUCUGAAAAUUCGUGUCUUAAAUUUAUAUAGAUAUGAAUGUAUCUAGUCANNNUUUAGUAUUUAGAUACAUCCAUUUUUUUUUUAAAUCCAAGACAAUAAUUUUAGGACGAAGAGAGUACUAG